rnacentral:lncRNA from 1 species
UGAUUCGAUAAAAGACGGUUGAUCUACUUAUGCAAGGUCUUCUAUUCGCUGGGGGGCACUUUCAGGAAGGAUUAAAUGCGGGGAAAAUCAAAUUCAUGUGAGUUUGCUGUAUUAUCUUAUCCUCAAAAACAACUCAGAAGCACAGCCAAGGCACGACAAAGCAAGUAAGAUCGUAUGGAAUAUUUCAUCUGAUUUCUUACAACCUCCAAAUUCAGUGGAUGGAAAUUUGAUAAACAUACCAAAUUCUUUCAAACGCUAUAUAGUUUGGUAAGGAUAUAGAAUUCCUGGAAGGUUGGACUAGCAAGAUGUAUUGCUUUUGUUUAUAUAAGCAUGUUUUUCAAGUAUUUGUUUACCCUUCCCAUUUCAUGUAUCGCUUUUGUUUUCCUUCCUUUCUCAAUGCUCGUAACUCGUUUUGUCGAAUCCAACCUUAUGCUUGGCCUUUGCUUAGGAUUUUAUUUGAGGUAGACUGAGCAAGAGAAAGAAACUUAUGUCUCAUUGAUGUAUGUCACCUUUUAUCUCUCUCUCGUCACAUGAUGGGCGAGGUAAGAGGGGGCGUGAUAGAGAUAGGAAGAGGGGUGGCAUACAAUCAUUGGAAGUGCCUGUGACAAUCAGCUCAUGCGCGUCUGGGUAACUUUUGGCCAUUAAUGCAAUGGGGCGUAGGUAGGGCCCACAGUUGCAUCAAUGAUUGGGAGUCACCCACAUGCGUAUGAGCGAUUGUCCCUAAAAGAAAACCCGCGCCUGUUUCCCGGAAGAUAUUUUCGGAAGGAGAAGGGCCCUCGGUAGACCAUCAAUGCUUUCUUUCUCUCACACACACACACGUGUUGCAUUCGUUAAGAUUUAAAAAGAUAAUGUUCUGAUUCAUGCGUUCCUUAUGCCUUUUGGGAUGUGAAUUUGUAGAAGCAUCAAGUCCAUAUGAAGUUUGUGACAUAAACAAUCAAAUUGCAGCAGGAAGCCUAAAACUUUGGUACUACAUUUUGGGAGAAACGUAAACAAUAAGCCAAAUUAUAGACCCACAAAAACAUAUGAAUCUGUACUCUUUCAUAUUUUGCGGUUUCUUGUAAGUUGCAAAAAUCCAUUUGAAUCUUGCCAUACCAGAGCAAGAGUAUCUCAUAUCAUCAGGGUCAAAAGCAAGAGUAUCCCAUAUCAUGCUUUUUCCCUGUCUUUGCCUUUACCCUUGUUCUUACCUACAAGACAAGGAGAAAGAGAGCAAUCAGUCAGCACUUGGAAUCAAGCUUCCAGUCAGGAACUGACUGCCUGGAACCCCUUACCUGAUUACUUACCUGGCAUUGCUCUCGAGUACUCAUCUUAAACAUCUUAUGCUUCCAAAAAAUAUACCACAUCUGCCUGAGGAACAGAUAUGGCAAGUGAGAAGGAUACAAGGAAGCAUGUUGAGACAAGCGCAACAGAACACAUGCUGAUUCAUCUAUUACUUCGUCAACAACAAAAGUAUCCCAUAUCAUCAAGGUCGAACGCACUCUUGAUUUGAUGGACUUGUUUUGACCCUCAAAUUCUUGAGUCGGCCUUAUACUCUGGAGGAAACCAGAAAACCCUCCACCCCAGUUCAAGAAUAAGCCUGUGGAAAGUUACUUCUUCAAAAGCAAAAGUAUCUCAUAUCAUCUCUUCUCCAUUUGCUUCUCCUUAUCCUUGUUGCUAUUUACGACACAAGGAGAAGGAGAACAAUCAACCGAAAGCCGAAGUCAAACCUCCGAUCUAGGUUGCUUGCUUGGAAGUCUGAUUGCUUACCUUGUCUGUUACCUCUUUCGGUCAAUCUCCUAGCUCGACGACUUGGGGGACUCCUACUAUAGGGUUUUGUAUCGCACUUGACCAAGCCCGAAACUACAAGUAAGCCUCAAGUGAAAUUGAUACAUUACCUUGUGCAUCUUCAUCGGUUAAAGAUACCACCCCUGGAUGGAGGAAAAGUACUUCCAGAGAAGAUGUCACAUCUACGUAUGAGAUAGAUAAGGCAAGUGAAAAUGAUACCACACUUCAGUACUUAGAAGUUUUGUGAUUACUCAAUAGCUUGGAUCUUGCAAGUCCCCAACCGAGGAGCUUCCCUCACUCGGGAACUUAGGGGAGCACUGUUUGUACCAUACUUGACCAAUCUUGAAACUACUGAGCACUAGUCAAUGUUAUACCGUCAAGGAACCUCCGAUAUAGGUUGCUUGCUGUUUAAGAUCGUAUGGAAUAUUUCAUCAGAUUUCUUACAACCUCCAAAUUCAGUGGAUGGAAAUUUGAUAAACAUACCAAAUUCUUUCAAACGCUAUAUAGUUUGGUAAGGAUAUAGAAUUCCUGGAAGGUUGGACUAGCAAGAUGUAUUGCUUUUGUUUAUAUAAGCAUGCUUUUCAAGUAUUUGUUUACCCUUCCCAUUUCAUGUAUCGCUUUUGUUUUCCUUCCUUUCUCAAUGCUCGUAACUCGUUUUGUCGAAUCCAACCUUAUGCUUGGCCUUUGCUUAGGAUUUUAUUUGAGGUAGACUGAGCAAGAGAAAGAAACUUAUGUCUCAUUGAUGUAUGUCACCUUUUAUCUCUCUCUCGUCACAUGAUGGGCGAGGUAGGAGGGGGCGUGAUAGAGAUAGGAAGAGGGGUGGCAUACAAUCAUUGGAAGUGCCUGUGACAAUCAGCUCAUGCGCGUCUGGGUAACUUUUGGCCAUUAAUGCAAUGGGGCGUAGGUAGGGCCCACAGUUGCAUCAAUGAUUGGGAGUCACCCACAUGUGUAUGAGCGACUGUCCCUAAAAGAAAACCUGCGCCUGUUUCCCGGAAGAUAUUUUCGGAAGGAGAAGGGCCCUCGGUAGACCAUCAAUGCUUUCUUUCUCACACACACACACACGUGUUGCAUUCGUUGAGAUUUAAAAAGAUAAUGUUCUGAUUCAUGCGUUCCUUAUGCCUUUUGGGAUGUGAAUUUGUAGAAGCAUCAAGUCCAUAUGAAGUUUGUGACAUAAACAAUCAAAUUGCAGCAGGAAGCCUAAAACUUUGGUACUACAUUUUGGGAGAAACGUAAACAAUAAGCCAAAUUAUAGACCCACAAAAACAUAUGAAUCUGUCCUCUUUCAUAUUUUGCGGUUUCUUGUAAGUUGCAAAAAUCCAGAACCAACUGCUGUUGGCAUGUUGCUGCUAAAUGGCAAACGUUGUCGAAAGAGAUGUGGACAUCCCAUCAGAAUCUAGUCACCUAAUAGAUCAGAUCAGGGGCACAUCUCACUAAUUUUAGAGGUUUGGCAAACAAGUAGUGUUUUUCUUAUUUGUGUUGUACCCGUUAUCUUAAUGGGUUGUGUCGUGUCAAACUCCUUAACUUAAUAGGUGACUUGAUAACGACCCGACUUGUUAACAGCUUGUGUCGUUUCGUGUCGGGUUAACAAGCCAUGCAAAAAAUUGUCAAGUCUAACGUCUAGAUAUGGCAAAAGAUAUCUUAUUAGGUUAUUAAUAGGUAAUCCAAAAAUGACCCGACUCGUUAACAGAUUUUUACUGGUAACCCAAUAACGGUCCAAUUUAUAAAUAGAUUAAUUUGAAACCUGUUAUUUUUGUGUGAGUUAACAGGUUACCCUGUGAAAAGAGCAAUUGCAAAGUGGCUCCAUACCCUCUCAAGAAAACAAAACACAGGAGACUUGAGAGAGACUUACCACCUUCCUUUUCCUCCCGCUCCAUUGUUGUAAAUGGCUUUCCUCGUGAGUUAACAACCCACUUUCCACCGGCUUUCUUGGCCAUUGUCGACUCAAAAAAAAGGGCAAAUCAUGCCAUCAUCGUCCUUUACAAUCCGACCAUUUCCUCAAUUUUUAAUUGCCGGCUGAAUUAGGUGAAGUAAGGACCCCUUUUACGCCCUUUCUUAAUAUGCUUUCCUUCAUAACUCACAUACUUCCAUUCAUGCCCUAAUGACAUUUUUUUUAACGUGCCCAGAACAUGGAGGUGUACACCGUAUGUUAUUAUACAAGAGGAGGAAUUUUAUUUUAUUUUUUUAAAGUGUCCCUCCAUUUGUGUAAUGAAAUAUGGUCAGACACAAUGAAAAAUCUCUCCAUGCCCUACACUCUACAUUUAGUAACAAAAAAUCGGGUUUUUUGGAAAUAUUAAUUGACAUUCAUAUUUUAUGGAACAUCAAUGUCGACAUAAAUUUCUUUAUGUUAUUAUGCAAGUGGAGAGAGAUUUUUUUUUUUUCUUUCAAGUGUCUCUCUAUUUGUGUAAUUAGAUGGCUUAUAUGUCCGUAUUUGAAAAAUAUCUCCAUGCCCUACACUCUUCAUUUAGUAACAAAAAAAUUGGGUAUUUCGGAAAUAUUAAUUGACACUCAUAUUUUGCGGAAGCAUCGAUGUCGAUAUAAAUUUCGAAGGUUAAAAGGGUUGAAAUACAUUUAAGAAAUACUAAGUUGAUUAAGCAUUCAUCAAUUAACCAUACAUUUUUGGUAGAGAGUAGCAUAUCCAUGACAAAUUUAUUAUAAAUAAAACAUUUUGUGCCACCAACAUCAUUUUCUUUCAAUUUCUUAUUUAUAAGAAUAUAUUGAUAUUGAGCCUAUAUUGUUAUCCUUUGUACUCAUUUGGACAAAAUGUGCAUUGUAAUCGGCAUGGCAUCUGCAAUUGCAAUUGGGUGCAUCCAAUCACUCAUUUUUUUGACACAAACUAUAAUGUGUUUAUACUUGAAGAGAAAACGUUACUGAAAAAGUAUUUUCCCGAUUUGUAUACAAAUUUCUCGCUUACAUUGGUGUCUCGUUUGAGAUUAAUUUUUUGGGUUUCCCUAGUCUACAGAUUUUUUCCCUAACCCACUGGAAGAAAAUAGCUGAGAAAAUAAAUAAAAAUCAUCUGCACAAAAUAAAUAGCCAAAAGACGAAAAAGCCCAAUACCCCAAAAGCCACACACAAAGUGUCUAAUGUCCCUUCAGUCCUCAACUUCCUCUCCUUCCUUUCCUUCUUCCUCUCCAAGUACUCUUCGUACCUCUUCCUUCCUUCCGCCACCCUCCUCCUCCCCUUUCUUCCCUUUCUGCCCUCCAACGCCCUCUCCAAAAUUACCAAACCCUCCUUCCCGUUCAAGUGCAUUCCAUCCAUGUCCUCCACCUGCAAGUUCACCUCCCUUAUCUGCAUCUCCCCUCCCUCCGACCCCCCGCACGUGACCAAUAUCCCGCACUGCACGUGCUCCGACGCCGUCGCUUUCUCCCCCGGCAGAAUCAACGAGAACCGCGCGUGCACCUCGCCGCUUAGCCAGUGCCGCUGCACCGACACCGGCGCGUGGCUCGAGAGGUUCAUCGCCCGCCGUCUGGUCGGGUCGAUCAUGAUCCAGCUCAGCGUCAGCUCGUCCCCGAGGUCGCGACAGGUGUCGGCCUCCUGCCCCUCCGGGUACUUGAUUUGGGUGGGGACCACGUCCUUGGGGUCCAGCAGGUCAAUCCGGAACGGCGAGCACCGGAACCACCCGGUCACGGUCUCCGUCUCGAUGACCUUGCUCAGGAUGAGCUUGCCGCGGUGGUAGAUAUCGACGGCGGAGAUUAACUCGCACGGACGGUCCUGAUCGUGUUUUGGCGCGAUACCGGAGGUUGCGGUUGCGGUUGCGGUGCUGGGCUCCAGAUUGGCGAGGAGAGGGAAGGAGUCCGAGAAGAAGGAGAGCGGGCCGGCGGGGAAGGUGGAAAUGACUUGGCGCACACGUGGCGCGGCGGUGGAGGGCCACGUGGAGUGGCAGAUGUUGGCCCAGAGUGGCUGGUGGGAGGCUAGCGCUUGGAGUUCGGAGGAGGUGCAGGCGGCGGAGGCGAGCGUGGGGCCGUCGAGGCGGGUGAGGAUGUGGGUUUGGAUUAUGUCCGGAUGGACGGCGGAUAUUGAGGCGGAGGUGGCUUUGUCGCCGUCGGUGGACGGCGGUAGGUGGGAGGAGCAAGCCAUUUGGGAGUACAGAUUGCUUUUUCCAAUUAGUUUAGGGGUUUGGGGUACACCGAUGAGGACUGAAGAGAGAGGUUUGUAUUUUGGGGUUUAUAUAGCAACGUAACGAGGGGACAAUGCUGAAGUCAAGAGCUCCUUAAUUAUUGACCUUGGGUUUGCAAUUUAAUUACGAGAUUGCCAUUUUCAUUUUCAUUUUCUCUGUGGGUUACAACACUUUCCCUUGACGUGUAAAAUGACAAAGCUAUAUUCCUUCCAAAUUAAUGGCGUUAUAAAGUUUAGAUAAGGAGUUGAAUUUCAAUUGUGGAGUAUUAACGAGUUUAAUAAUUAUGAACGGAUCAAAAUAGAUAUGAGGCACACACAGACUAAGAAAUUCGUUGUGAAGAGUGAAAAAUAGGAAUGCAUGUUACAUUUAUUUAUUAUUGCCUCACAUAUCUAAAAGAAAAAAAGCAAGAGUUUUUGUUCCGGUUCAAGUAAAUUAUAAACAAUUUAUAUGAAAUCAAUAACAUUCGUACUCUGAUUCCGACCAUGCUUAAUAAACAAUUUCAAUGGGAAAUCAAAUGGUGAUCCUCCCCAACUAGAUUCCUUCCAACUAACAAUCAAAUACUACAAAUACAUGAAAAUCCAAUGGAGCAUCUAAUUUUAGGGUGAAUGUGUCAUGGUUGGAACAUUAAUGAAUACAAAAGAAUAUGAAUUGAGCUUACUCUCACAAAUCACAAGUUGAUAUCUUCGAUUAUCCUUGUAAGUUAGCAAACCUCCCACAACCUCAAAAGGAAUAGAUUUUUCAGCAUACUCGAAAUACAGAACGAUACGUCAUAUUAAUUAUACAAUUAAAGAAACACUUAAAAAAAAAA